rnacentral:piRNA from 1 species
UUUUAUGAGGUCCCAUUUAUUCUUGA